rnacentral:misc_RNA from 1 species
UUUCCGUAGGUGAACCUGCGGAAGGAUCAUUAUUGUAUAAUCGAGGUGCGAGGGCUGUCGCUGACCCGAAAGGUCGUGCACGCCCGAGUGCCCUCGCACACAUCCAUCUCACCCCUAUGUGCACCACCGCGUGGGUCCCCCUUUGGCUUGUUCGGAGGGGGGCUUACGUUUUCACACAAACUUUGUAUGCAGUGUAGAAUGUAUUUUUUGUUUUUGCGAUCACGCAAUCAAUACAACUUUCAACAACGGAUCUCUUGGCUCUC